rnacentral:rRNA from 1 species
UACGUAGGGCGCAAGCGUUGUCCGGAAUUAUUGGGCGUAAAGAGCUCGUAGGCGGUUUGUCGCGUCUGCUGUGAAAACUGGAGGCUCAACCUCCAGCCUGCAGUGGGUACGGGCAAACUAGAGUGCGGUAGGGGAGAUUGGAAUUCCUGGUGUAGCGGUGGAAUGCGCAGAUAUCAGGAGGAACACCGAUGGCGAAGGCAGAUCUCUGGGCCGUAACUGACGCUGAGGAACGAAAGCGUGGGGAGCGAACAGG